rnacentral:ncRNA from 1 species
AAAUGUCACUAGGGGAGCAUGUUAACUAGCUGAGAAGAACUUACUUUGUUCUGACCCUCUUACUCGAACUAGAUAAUACUAGCGUGGGAAAGUGUAGUCGAAGUGUA